UACGGGGGGGGUAAGCGUUGUUCGGAAUUACUGGGCGUAAAGGGCUCGUAGGCGGCCAACUAAGUCAGACGUGAAAUCCCUCGGCUUAACCGGGGAACUGCGUCCGAUACUGGAUGGCUUGAGAUUGGGAGAGGGAUGCGGAAUUCCAGGUGUAGCGGUGAAAUGCGUAGAUAUCUGGAGGAACACCGAUGGCGAAGGCAGCCCCCUGGGCUAACACUGACGCUCAUGCACGAAAGCGUGGGGAGCAAACAGG
rnacentral:rRNA from 1 species